GUUUGCUUUCCAGCUGUACAGCCUUUUCAUAGGCCGCCUCUUCUGCGUCUACGAGGGGGACACGGAGGAUGUGGCCCAUCUACAGGAGGCCAAACUGUCGGCGCACGGGGAGGCACCGCGGUCCAGAGGCCGCCUGACUGACGCCGGGUCUUCCGGCAGACCCACCACCAAAGAGCUGCUUCGGCACUGUCGCUCGCUUUCUGUAUGCAUGUCAGCACUGUUUACUAAAAGCCUGCUGCAGGUACAAGUGCCCUGCACUUCCAGGCAUACCUGCUUGAAGGGUUAGUGAGCUGGAAAAAGGACUACGCGGCAGCAGCAGCGGAGGGAAGCAAUCUUACUCAGGUCUGCAACAGCACUAUGCCAGCUAGCUGAGGACUACACUAGGCCUGGAGAGUAUACAGGUAAUAUCCUCCCUCUCUCUCAUAUUCACACACACCCACACGUGUGCCCACUUAACCUUUUUUUUCCCCUCUGUGAUGUAUUAAACACUUGUAUACGUGAACUCAUCUGGAUGGAGUAUCUGUACUCUCAAACUGGCGUAGUGCUGCAUGAGUACCUCGGCAGGGAUCCAGACACUCCAGAUGGGCUUAGCAAUGAGGACCUGCCAGAGCUGGAGGACAAGGGCCUCGAGGAUGUGGACGUGGGGUUCAAUGCGUUUGCGGACCCCACAUGCUCCGAGCACAGUCUCAAACCACUGGAGAGUUUAAAAGGAGCCACGCUAAGACCUCUGUUGUAGCUGGAACAGAGAUUGAAGUGUGGCCCAGCGUCAGGUGCUUUGUCGGCUUCACCCGGCCAGUCAGACCAUUGCCGGCGUCGGGGUGAACAGGUGGGCUGCAGUCAUGAGGGAUUGGUGUCAUCAGGGACGUAGUCCUCGGCUGCCCCGGCCUCCUGAGCCAGACCCGUAUUCGACUUUGAGUUGAAGCGGCAGACACUGACUACACAGGCUGAGCACUAAUAGGCGGUGCUGCUUUUUGUUACAGAUGGAUGUUGUUGCACCUGAGCGUUGGCUGGUCCAGCGCUCCCAGAGCAUCUGAUUCAUGGAACACCUUACUUUUGACUAACAUCCAGCAGGAUGCAUCUGAGCAAGCUUCUCUCUACUGGUUGUAGGCCUCCAUCAGUCCUCAUCACUGAUGUACAGCCUUUGGAUUCAUUUGUGAGGCAUUUUCUGGACUUGAUGUUGGGAACUGCCAGUUUAUGGUGCGUGCUGUGUAUCUGAUGAUGGGAGGGCAUAUAUUUUUAUGGUUUUGACCUUUUUUAUACUUUCCAUUCAACUGGUUGAGUAACACUACCCCAUACAAGUAAAAUGCAACAAUGCUAGGUCAUAGUAUCAAGCGUGAGGAUAAUGACUCAGGUUUUUCCUCUCCCAAUGACAAGUUUUUAUUUUUAGAAUUCUAAUGCUGGAAGAAAAUUAGUCUAAUUUUAAGAAAAAAAAGGAGAAAAAAAAGUGCAACAAUGAAGACAUUUUUGAUAGCUUAUUUGAUUUAUUAUGAAGCAAACAUAUUAUGAAUACCACACUACUUGGUUAUAAAAGAACAAUGUUACCAUGUUAUAUAUGUUACCAGGGAGGUGUGGCCUGUGAUGCUUUAACAGGGUUAGUAUAAAAGGAUACUGUUAUUUUACUAAAAGGAGGUUAAAUUAAUGCAAUAUCAUAACAAAAUGCCUGGUUUGGUAGUGGAAACAGAACAAGUAAAUAACAUAUUGCAAAUGAGUACUCUAAAAUGCAUCAUUAAAUACAAUAUUAAAUGUGAAUUUUCCCAAGGACUACGAGCUCAGUCAGUCAUUCAUCACUACACCAUACAAAGGGAGAUAUGACCAAAUCUAUUGCAAUACCAUAUUAAAAAGUGAUCCAUUUUUGCACUUACUCAGUAUAUAACCGUCUAAAAUAAAAAAAAAAAAAAACAUCUAAAAGGUUUUUAGGAGGCAUUUUGCAACAAGGCAAAAUCACUCUUUGAAAAUCAGACUGGACAAAAUCUUUUAACAGUGCAAAGCCUGUACAUACUAUACUCUAUGGACUGUUUAUGAAAGUACACCCAGUGUACAUGCACACCUUAUAUCUGGUCU